rnacentral:rRNA from 1 species
AGUGAACGCUGGCGGUGGGCCUAACACAUGCAAGUCGAACGGCAGCACAGUAAGAGUUUGCCCUUACGGGUGGCGGCUGGCGGACGGGUGAGGAGUACAUCGGAAUCUACUUUUUCGUGGGGGAUAUCGUAGGGAAACUUACGCUACUACCGCAUACGAUCUACCGGUGAGAUCAGGGGUUCUUCGGACCUUUCGCGUCUGAAUGAGCUGAUGUCGCAUUAGCUAGUCGGCGUGGUAAAGGCCCACCAAGGCAACGAUGCGUAGCUGAUCUGAGAGGAUGAUCAGCCACACUGGAACUGAGACACGGUCCAGACUCCUACGGGAGGCAGCAGUGGGGAAUCUUACGCAAUGGGCGAAAGCCUGAUACAGCAACACCGCGUGAGUGAUGAAGGCCUUCGGAUUGUAAAGCCCUGUUGUUAGGAAAGAAAAAAAGCAGGUUUAAACAUGGACGUUUUGACGGUACCUAAAGAAUAAGCCCCGGCUAACUACGUG